GCUGGCUCUGGCAGCAUUUGCGGAAUACAGCGGAAAACGAUGUAACUGUAUAACUUAAGUCUUAAGUAGAUAAAAUAGAAACCGUCUGCUUUGCAACAUUGUAAUGUCCGCCUUUUCGUGCCACUCGUACGUGUGUUGUAUGUCGUGACUGGGCUUCCUUGCCUACCACCUACCACAUAUAACCUUUGGAAAAAUCACGCAAUCACGCAAUUACAAGAGAGGAAGAGAGUACAGACUACAGAGUAUAGUCGCGAGUCACAAAGUCACAAUCAAACUGACGACCGUGAAAACUACUGCGCGACAAGUAAAACCACACUUUUAUUAUGGCCGCGAUUUGAGUGUGCAAGGUUCGGAUACAUGUGGCGGUCGCUCGAUUUAUUUUGAAAUCUGAAUUAAAGGUGUUCGUAAAAGUAACAAAUGUGCACCUAUAUGCUACGUAAUCAAGUUGACUGCUGAGGAGUGCAGGAGUAUUCUGGUCUUUUGCUGUACGCCUUACAAUUAUAAGUGAAACUAAUUCGAUCAAUGAAGCGAAAAGAAACGGCAUACAGGAAAUCCGCUCGUACUUAUACACGUUGACUUCUCGUGAACAUAUUUAUAUAAUUGCAUCAUCGAAGGCCUGCCUCGAGAGAAUCUUCUUCCGCACUACUUUUCAUGAUAUUCUUUUCACUAGGGUAGGCAAAAGUAGAGUGGCCUGGAAACCGCCAUUUACAGGAUACUGUACAGAAGAUUAUGCUCCUAUAUGAAUUUCCACAAGUGGUCUGAUGCUUACACCCACGAGUGCCACAAGAGAGCAACAAUGAUAAUAAAAAUAUAGUAAUCGUCACCCUCGCCUUGGACUGCUUGGAGGCCUCGUGUGUCCUUUCCCCCGAAGAGCAGCGUCGACGCGCGCACAUGCACACCCAGCCUUCGGAGAGGGAUAGAGAGAGCCGCUCCGGACACACACGCGCAUAAGGUAUGUACGCGGUGUUCAUGCCUCCUCUGGUGCACCAGUCGGCUCGCCGCUUCCCGAGCGGCCACUCUCUCGUUGCCACGGCGCCCGUCGUCCUCCUGCCUUGACCAAGGGUGGGAUCACAAUAAUAAUUAUAAUAAUAAUAUCACAUCGCACGGUGCGGUAAUUGCGUUGUUGCUGAUUUAUUGUGACAAAAGCAACCGGAUCGUUGGGCACGGAGUUAUGACGCUCGUCGUUUCGACGUUUGCGGACACCCGAGAGCCGAGACAUUACACCAGCGUCGGGGUACCGCACCUCCAGACGGGCCAUACGCUCAUCGCGUAGUUGAACAAUUUUGCCCCUUGCGGACCUUGGACGAUUAUUUUGCAA